AUUGAACGCUGGCGGCAGGCCUAACACAUGCAAGUCGAACGAGUGGCGGACGGGUGAGUAAUGUCUGGGAAACUGCCUGAUGGAGGGGGAUAACUACUGGAAACGGUAGCUAAUACCGCAUAACAUAGGAUGUGCACAGAUGGGAUUAGCAAGUAGGUGGGGUAAAGGCUCACCUGGGCGACGAUCCCUAGCUGGUCUGAGAGGAUGACCAGCCACACUGGAACUGAGAUACGGUCCAGACUCCUACGGUAGGCAGCAGUGGGGAAUAUUGCACAAUGGGCGCAAGCUUGAGGCAGCCAUGCCGCGGGUAUGAAGAAGGCCUUCGGUUUGGAAAGUACUUUCAGCGGGGAGGCGUUACCCGCAGAAGAAGCACCGGCUAACUCCGUGCCAGCAGCGGCGGUAAUUC
rnacentral:rRNA from 1 species